AAAAGCGGUACGCGAGUGGGUUUCAGAAACGUCGUGAGACAGUUCGGUCCCUUUCCGUCGUGGGCGUAGGAAAUUUGAGAGGAGCUGUCCUUAGUACGAGAGGACCGGGAUGGACAUACCUCUGGUGUACCAGUUUGUCGUGCCAACGGCAUAGCUAAUAUAUAGAUGGUGGAGGGGAUAAGUGCUGAAAGCAUCUAAGCAUGAAGCCCCCCUCAAGAUGAGAUUUCCCAACUUCGGUUAUAAGAUCCCUCAAAGAUGAUGAGGUUAAUAGGUUCGAGGUGGAAGCAUGGUGACAUGUGGAGCUGACGAAUACUAAUCGAUCGAAGACUUAAUCAA
rnacentral:rRNA from 1 species